rnacentral:lncRNA from 1 species
GGGUCUGUCGUCCUCCUCAUUAUAGUCCUCCUAAAAUCAAUAGCAUUUCGUCGGAAUACAUCCUGUCUUUUCACCUUAGUAGUCCUAUGCAUAGUCAGUACUAUAGCCCCAAUCAUGGCUACUAAUAAAAUAGGACUAGGAACCAAAAACCAGACGGAAUAGUAGGUAUAAAGUAAAUUGCCCAAUGUUUCCAAAUUAGUCCAACUUCGUACCUUUCCGGCAUAAACCGUAUAUCUCAGAGAGGUCGUCUUUCUUCGUUUGAUGCCUACACCUCUUUCCUGAGUUCUAGCCAGGUCCUCGCAGCACACUUCCCUAGAAUCCCUAAGAUUGUUCCUCCUUCACCCUAUCAGGAAUAUAAGGGCAAAAAUUCAUUGAACUAGUUCAAUUCAUUAACAAAAAUUAUUGGUCGGCGUUGUCAUUAAAUUCAUAGUGGUCAAGGUCUUGGUCUUUCACCCGCCUCUGGAAAAGAUCAUUCAUGAUUUAGCGUGCCCGUUCUCUUGUAGGAUUAUCUACGGGGUUGUUGGCUAUAUCCCCCAAGAGUUCAACGAGGCGAGCCUUACUUGUAUAAUGCUGUCCCGCUAACUGCUCGAGCACCCGUCGAUACUUCCUGUAUGACGGUGUUCUUUCGAAGGAAGUAUCCAUGUCUGCCUUGAGGUAGUCGAUUAGGAUCCGAUGAACGCACCAAUACCCUUACUCCAUAGGGCAGAUUGUGAGGCUCAUUGGUGUCACCGGGUAAAGCGGGGGGUUGUGGUGGGGCCGACUGCUCCCUCCCAAAAAGGUUAUUUUCCUCUAAGGAGGGGAGCGAGGGUACAGAGGGGACGGAAGGGUCAAAGGGUAUCGGUGUUAAGGAAGAGGGCACCGAGGGAAAAGAUCUCAGAGGAGAGUCAGCGGGGACCACAUUAUAAGGACCUGCAUUUGAAGGCCCCGCGUCAUUCCUACCCGGCGCUUGGUUUACGCUCGCUUCCGCCCCAGCGGGUAACACCAUAUUCGCAAGAUAGGGCGCGGCCUCGGUAGCGAGGAGGGCCUUCACAGCAAAUCCAAUGGCCAAGGCCAGAGCCCCGGAGCAUCCAAUCUUAAAGACAAAAGAACAUAGGGCUCGACACCCCAUAGAUACCCCAGCCUUUGAGAGCAAGGCCCAAAAAAUGUCAAUGGAACCGAGUAUGAGACAAAGCAAAUAGAAGACACAGAAUAGAAAGAACAAGAUCGAAAGUUUGAUCAUCAAUCUCUUUAUGACACAUCGCGGUGCAAUAGUUGAACUAUUGGAAGCAAAUGGAAAAAGGAACACCGAGC